CUUGCUACCUGAACAGUUCAGUGGAGGAAGAGCGGGAUCUGGAUCGAACAGCCUUGCCUGUUUUCACUGUACAGAGCGUGCUGCUGGGACAAUUGCAGGGUUAUGUUGUUCAGGAAUACCUCUUUAUUAUGGCUUCCCUUAGUUAUUGGAAACUUGUUUCCGCGACGAGAAAAAUUAUAUUCUGUGCAUCCAGAAGGAUGGAACGCAGUUGGCGCUAUUCUCAAGACCCAAUUCACUGGUGACUAUGCUGCGCUUGUUCUAAUGCAGAAGUCGGAUACUAAGCAAGAGGUCACUCUCCAUGCCCCGAGAGGAAUCGCGAUAGUCGAGGUGUCACUGAAUCGACCAAUUACCAAAACGAUCGAGAAUGAGUUCUACCUUCUCACUGCCAAGAUGGAAGAAGAAAUGGUGCAGUUAGCGGUGGUGGUCAUAAGUGAUGACGUAGCCUUUCUAACUGCCUUUGCGGAAUGGUCACUCACUUGUCGUCUUCUGGUGUGGUCAACCAGGCUAAUUGUUCUCACCCGACUUCAAGUUCACCAAGUCCAUCAUCUGCAGGCAGCUCUCUCCUUCACCAACUCACUACUUCUUACUCCGAGAGAGGAUGAAGGAAAGGAAAUAAG